GGCCGGAAAGAAACAAAGCCGUGGGCGGGGCCUCCCGGUCCCGGAAAAAGCGGGCAAGGGAGGAACAGCCCUCAAUUGACAAUGAUGGACGGGUACUUGCGGCUGAGCCAGCGAAAGAAAGCCGGGACUCCCAUUGCGGCUGCCCAGCUGGAAUAAGCGGCCCGGCCGGCAGACGAACGUAACCAGAGAGACAAGCAAGAGCGGCGGCCGCGGGCACCGGCACUUCCUCCCACGUGCGCGCCGGCGACAGGAAAUGGCGUCACGACCGCGCCGCUAGGGACGUUGACCGGCCGGGGGGCGGGGCAGGGUUCUUUUGCAGGCGGAGUGGUGAGGGCUGGGGGAGCCCCCAUCUUGGGUUGCUCUUUGUUGCUGGGGCCAGGCGUAGAUUCCGCGCUCCUGCGCGUCUGAGUUGUGUGGGCCCCCAGGCUGUGCCUUCGCCGCAGCUUCCCCUGGGUCGCGCAAUCCGGGCGCUCAGCAGGUCCUCGGGUGCUCUUUAUGGGUUUGAUCACCUGUUUCUCACCUCUCAGUUGACAAAAUCAGAGCAUCUAAACCCACUCGUCAACUCUCCUUCCUGGUUUCUCCUGGUUUUGUAACACUGUGCGUACCUGAACUAUUAAAAGGAGUAAUUUUAAA